GUCCCUAACUUUAAAUCGUGGGGUGCGCUGAUUGUUUGGGAUCCGCCUCAAGACUUCAGCCUAGGUCUACCUAGGAGAUACCUCUCAAAGACUGGAGCCAUUCUCGUGUCCAGGCCCAGGUUUGAGGCCGUGAUGACUCAACGCAGCAUCCCCUCCCCUUGCUAAACCACGGUCUCCGCCUACCCCCAAUCAAUCUCAAGGAAGCACUCGGGGCACCAGGAUUCCCAGCACUUAGCUGGUGGGCAAAGGGGCUCAUCCCCCUCCCCACAUCCCACCUUCCCUCCUCCCAGUCUUCAGGAGUGCGGAGCUCCUGCCGGGAUCCAAGAGCAGGCUCUUGGUAGUCGAAGAAGGAUAUAACCUCCAGACCUGGAAUUUUAAGACGCAAGAACCAGCCAGCAAAUGUGGCAGCCGAGCAUGCGAGGGACCGUGAUGGCUGCUGAAAAAGGAACUGGCUUUUUAUUUGGAAGCUAUGAAACUUGAGGUUCUACUGAAAAGGAGAAGAGGCCGCUGGAGAUUAGGAAGCCAUGAAAAAACACACCAGAAGAAGGCAUCAGAUCCCACUACAAAUGG